GACGAACGCUGGCGGCGUGCUUAACACAUGCAAGUCGAAGAUAGUGGCGAACGGGUGAGUAAUACGUGGGUAACCUGCCCUCCUUUUUGGGAUAAGCCUUGGAAACGGGGUCUAAUACCGAAUAAAGGUGGAUGGGCUCGCGGCCUAUCAGCUUGUUGGUGGGGUGAUGGCCUACCAAGGCGGUGACGGGUAGCCGGCCUGAGAGGGUGACAGGCCAAAAUGGGACGGGGAGACGGCCCAGACGCCUACGGGAGGGAGCAGUGGGGGAUAUGGGACAAUGGGCGAAAGUCGGAUGCAGCGACGCCGCGUGGGGGAUGAAGGCUUUCGGGUUGUAAAACUCUUUCGAAAGCGAACGGGUAGGUGGAGAAGAAGCGCCGGCUAACUACGGGCCAGCAGCCGCGGUAAUAC
rnacentral:rRNA from 1 species